GAUGAAGAACGUAGCGAAAUGCGAUAAGUAAUGUGAAUUGCAGAAUUCAGUGAAUCAUCGAAUCUUUGAACGCACAUUGCGCCCGCCAGUAUUCUGGCGGGCAUGCCUGUUCGAGCGUCAUUUCAACCCUCAGGGCCCUUUUGGACCUGGCGUUGGGGCUCGGCCGCUACCCUGCGGCCGUCCCCGAAAGAUAGUGGCGGUCUCGCUGUAGCCUCCUCUGCGUAGUAGUUACAUCUCGCACUGGAACGCGGCGCGGCCAUGCCGUUAAACACCCCACUUCUCAAGGUUGACCUCGGAUCAGGUAGGAAUACCCGCUGAACUUAAGAAUAUCAAUAAGCGGAGGA
rnacentral:misc_RNA from 1 species